rnacentral:rRNA from 1 species
AACCCAGACCGCCAGCUAAGGUCCCAAAGUAUUGCUAAGUGGGAAACGAUGUGGGAAGGCUCAGACAGCUAGGAUGUUGGCUUAGAAGCAGCCAUCAUUAAAGAAAGCGUAAUAGCUCACUAGUCGAGUCGGCCUGCGCGGAAGAUGUAACGGGGCUAAGCAAUACACCGAAGCUGCGGCAAUGUCUUUUAGACAUUGGGUAGGGGAGCGUUCUGUAAGCCGUUGAAGGUGAAUCGUAAGGUUUGCUGGAGGUAUCAGAAGUGCGAAUGCUGACAUGAGUAACGACAAAGGGG